GAUUUACACAAUGAACAUGUAAUUGCAUUUGAGAGUUAUAUGAUUCAAUAGCAAAUAAUUGCAAACUAUUUUGAUCUGC